rnacentral:lncRNA from 1 species
UAGUGGGCUCUUGUGGUGGAUGUGUCUCAUAGGAUAAGGUACGAACAUGUUGUCCACCUUCUCGACUUAAAUGGUCAUGACCAUACUGAGGUGAUUGAGAGAGAACUUUGUUUGGAAAUGAAAUUGCUUCAUCCUUAGUAGUGUUAUUAGACAUAUAUGGAUCUGUCACCAUUUGAUCAUACCCACUAAGCAUGGAAGAAAUCAUUAGUGAUGGCCUAUUGUCCAUUUCUUCAAAAGUGUUCCUAUUAUUACCAAUGGAGGUACUGUCCGAAAAAU